GCGGAGCUGCCUGGUGCGUCAGGCUGCAUUACUCCUGGGGCCAAUAUAUCUCUCUAGGGAGCUGUUCCUGCCGGGGCCGUGGUCUCGGUAUUACGGCGCCCACCUGCAUAUGCAGGCCACAGAGGGUACGCAUAUGCCAACGGCCGAGGCGGCUCCGCA
rnacentral:other from 1 species